UACGUAGGGGGCUAGCGUUGUCCGGAAUCAUUGGGCGUAAAGCGCGCGUAGGCGGCCCGGUAAGUCCGAUGUGAAAUCUCCCGGCUCAACUGGGAAACUGCAUCGGAAACUGAUCGGCUUGAAGGUGGGAGAGGGUAGUGGAAUUCCCGGUGUAGUGGUGAAAUGCGUAGAUAUCGGGAGGAACACCAGUGGCGAAGGCGACUACCUGGCCCAUUCUUGACGCUGAGGCGCGAAAGCUAGGGGAGCGAACGGG
rnacentral:rRNA from 1 species